rnacentral:lncRNA from 1 species
CUCUCUUCCUGCCCCGUUGCUGCUGGUGAGCCACGAUGCAGUCUUGCUGUGUUGCCCAGGCUGGAGCGCAGUGUUGCAAUCUUGGCUCACUGCAACCUCUGCCUCCUGGCUUCAAAUGAUUCUCUUGCCUCAGCCUCCUGAGCAGCUGGGAUUACAGGUAUGUGUCACCACACCUCACUAAUUUUUAUAUGUUUGUAGAGAUGGAAUUUCAUCAUGUUGGCCAGGCUGGUCUUGAACUCCUGACCUCAAAGUAAUCCACCUGCUUUAGCCACCAAAAGUGCUGGGA